UACGGAGGGUGCAAGCGUUAAUCGGAAUUACUGGGCGUAAAGCGCGCGUAGGCGGUUUUUUAAGUCGGAUGUGAAAGCCCCGGGCUCAACCUGGGAACUGCAUCCGAUACUGGAAGACUAGAAUGCGGGAGAGGGAGGUAGAAUUCCAUGUGUAGCAGUGAAAUGCGUAGAUAUAUGGAGGAAUACCAGUGGCGAAGGCGGCCUCCUGGCUCGACAUUGACGCUGAGGUGCGAAGCGUGGGGAGCAAACGGG
rnacentral:rRNA from 1 species